rnacentral:ribozyme from 14 species
UUCCUUCUUCUCACCGUCUGUCUGAUACUCCAGUGAAAAGUACGGAUUGAUGGGGGAUGCUCCAAUAAUUCAAAACAAAAGAGGAGACAUUUUUUUUUUUUUAUGAUUGAUUCUAUUGAUGAUUGUGUAUAAACAACACAGUAUGUACGGUGUAUUAUAUUGAAUCACGUACGGUAAGAUAAUAUAUCUUUUCU